rnacentral:piRNA from 1 species
UGUCAGUUGAUGGCAGUGGACACUGUGUU